UUAACUUAUUUGUAUUUUCACUCAGACUUCAAUCUUCAGACAGAGUUCGAGGUGUCUUCGGCGGGCGCGGGCCCGGGGGCGGAUGCCCCCCGGCGGCCAUGAAGGCGGGCCCACCGAAGCAACAAGGUACAAGAGACACGGGUGGGAGGUUGGACCCAGAGGGCCCUCACUCGGUAAUGAUCCUUCCGCAGGUUCACCUACGGAAA
rnacentral:misc_RNA from 1 species